UACGUAGGUGGCAAGCGUUGUCCGGAAUUAUUGGGCGUAAAGCGCGCGCAGGCGGCCUUUUAAGUCUGAUGUGAAAGCCCACGGCUUAACCGUGGAAGGUCAUUGGAAACUGGAAGGCUUGAGGAUAGAAGAGGAAAGUGGAAUUCCACGUGUAGCGGUGAAAUGCGUAGAGAUGUGGAGGAACACCAGUGGCGAAGGCGACUUUCUGGUCUAUAACUGACGCUGAGGCGCGAAAGCAUGGGGAGCAAACA
rnacentral:rRNA from 1 species